GCUUUACUGUCAUAUUGGAGAUACUGGAGAUAUGGUGAAACACAGGACAAGUGUGCGAUCUACGAAACAUAGAGUAUGUGUUCGUCGGAGGACCAUUGGUGGUGCUACCAAAGUUUCUGUUUUGAGAAACGUUUCACAUCCACCUGUAACCGUGGAUGUUACACCUGUCACCACCACAUCAUCUCUGGAUGAACAUUCAGAGGCAGAACCAAGCAGCAGUUGCAUGUCCGAGACUGCUUACACAAAAGCAAAGAAGAAGGAGCUCAGGGCCUGGGACUCAUUGAAGAGGAUAUGCUGCGGGUAUCUUAUGAGUCAUCAGCACCAUCUACAAAUAUCUGUGCUCUCUGCAAAGAGGAUGCAGAGUAUAGGUGCCUUGAGUGCAGCAGUACUAAUAUGUUUUGUGAGACCUGUAUCACAAAAACCCACCGCAAUUCCUUGCACCUACCAGAGAAAUGGAAUAAAACAUUGUAUGUGACAUCUCCGCUUGAAUUAGCACUACGCUUACCAGGAGAACAUUGUUCUCAUGCUGUGUACGCAAGAGAUAUGUAAAUAUUUGUGAACACAGGCCAGUUGUGCAGCUUCAGCGUGACUCUUUGUACAUGUGAACCAGAAACUUGCACCCUGCUCAGAUAUGGAAUCUGGCCUGCGACACCAGAGAGGCCUCAAACAGCGUUCUCUAUAGCUCUUUUGGAGCUUUUUCAUUAUCUGUCCAUGGAAUGCCAGGUGUCUGAGGGAUUCUGCAAUAUGUUGCGGUGGAAAAACAAUCUGUCUCUUUCAGAGGUUAACAUGCUCUACAGAGCUCUGGUGGGAGAAUCUAUAUCCCAGUUUCGCCACCACCACUUUAGAUGCAGAAGUUUAUCUGGUCUUUGUCCCUCAUUUGAUGAUGGAACAACAUGCCCAGUAUGUCCUAAGAGUAACGGCAAUCUGAUUGUAACAAUGGAUGCCAACUUUGGCCUUGUUCGAAAAAGAAGUUCAGGAAGUAGUUUGGUGGAGCCGUUGCAUGGUAACAGAAUGUUUGUGAGGGAAGAAGAUGUGCAAGAAUACCUGUCAUCCCAUCCUGAUGGUUCCAAGCCAAAUGAAGACUGUAGUAAUUUCAAGGCAGGGAACCUGCUUCGUUCUCAAAAAAAACAACAAAAACUAGAUGUAACAGGGGUGUUUGGAGUCUCUUGCCGCCAUGAGAUUCCGUUGGUGUUUUUGAACAUGACCCAGGGAGAACGGCU
rnacentral:lncRNA from 1 species